AGCAGGCAGAAUGCGCACUACGAUGGGUGGCGGGGUGAAUCUUUAACGCUGGUACAAGCUCCAAACUAGUUGUUGCCCUGAUUUUGAUUCAAUUUUGGCGUUGUAGUUGAUUAUUCUUUUAAUAACUACAAAACAAUCUCUGAAAGGGAGAGAGAGCUCAUACAGUCGGUUAGGACCAUAUACUGUAAAUAUUACUAGACAAACCCUGACCCGUCUGUUACAUAAGCAGAAAAUGAGUCCAAUCGACGGCCGCAUCCAUAUUGGAUUUGCAGUCUCAACCUAACUUCGGAUCAACCUAGCAACAGCAGUAAGGCGGGACCGGCGGGACUUAACUCCGCCCAUUCAACUCGACGUUAGCAGUCCACUUCACAGCAUAGCUAACAUCUAGGCUGCUAUCAUCCCCUAUUCCUGCUCGUCCUGAGUUAUCUCUAUAAACAACACAGUGUGGAUUAUUGGUGACUUGUCUGUCGAGGUGCCCAGAGAGCUGCAGAGACAGAGGAAGAAACCUGAGCCUCAACAACAUCUGUAUUUGUUGGUUCUUCUGGGGUGGACUUUGGUUGCUUCUCUUCAAUAACUCGCUGCAAGGGAGGUCUCCCCCGGAUGGCCUGAGUGAUGUCACCCACAGGCUGAGAGCUGAGGCGUGUUUUAAGCUUCUUGACAAAACGUUACACCGCACCCGCCUGUCAAGCAGGUCAGCUACACACCUUAUUGUGAAUAACUCUUAUCCUUCAUCAAAUCAAACGACCCCCGUACAGUGUGUGUCGAUCGAGACAUGAGAUAAUCACACCUAUUUGUUUGUUUUGUACCAAGCUGUAAACAUGUUAAUCUCUGCUGUAAAAACAGGGUUUUUGAAUGUAGUUUUUCAGAUUAAAUAAAUAUUUCUAUAUAAAUGCACUCCUUUAUGUCUACUUAUGAGUAUACAUUUCAGAUUUGAAAUGACAAGACUAAAAUGUGCAUUAAUGCUCAACUCAAUAGCUUAGGGAAGGAAGUCUACUUUUACACAACUUUUUAUUCUUUUGACAUUUUUUUUUUACCAAAUACUAAUGUAGUUCAUUUCUGAAAGUGGGAUGGAACAGAGUCAUUGCAAAAAAUUGCCCUUAAACACAGCCCCAUUCUUAAAUCAAGAUACACCGAGAGUAAAUAAGAUCAAUAACUUGUGAAUAAAAACACAGUUAAAAAUGAUUUAUAAAUGUAGUCUUCCCUGAUCUAGAUCACAUAAUAUUGACUUCUCCCAUCUAAACUGGACAAAGGGUUUUAAAAUGAGAAGAAAAUGGUUUGAUUGCAAGUUGUUUGGAGGAGAUCUAUUUUUAUUUGAACAGCUGAAGCAUGAAUACAGUCUUCCAAGGUGCAAACCCUCCUCCUCCUCCUGAAGCUUGUGGAGCUCCUUCAUGUACUGCCGUCUUAUCUGCUGGCCAUCUUCUCUCACCAGAACUUCGACUGUUGAAAAGUCAUUCUGAAGAAGCUCGAGCAUGUGACAUGGAUCCAGGAGAACGUGGACUUUUAGUGCGGGGUCUUCAGGAUGGCAAAGAAAGAGAGAAAAUAGCAGUUAUUCAUUAAAUCAAUUUGUUUGUGCAUUUUCUGUAUUCAUCUGUAUGUAAGAGCACAUUUAUAAAUUCAACAGUGUACUACCCAGACAACAAAGGUACAGUAUUCAGGUAAUCAACAUCUAUUCAAAGUUAAUAAGAUAAACCUUAUUGUAAUCAUGAUGUUUUCAGCUCUGACUCACUUGCACAAUGAUAUUCCACAUCAAAUUGUCUCAGAUUUUGGAGGAAAAAUUAAGCAAUUUAUUGUGGAUAGUACUUCAUCUUAACAUGAAACAAAUAUAACCUGAAUUAUUUAAAUCAUUAACAGGUCCCAACUCUCUGUGCUUCAGUACAGAACAUACAGUAGCUCAUUUAUUAUUAACAUGAGCUCAGUACAUGGCUGUAUUCUUCAAACUAUU